rnacentral:rRNA from 1 species
UACGUAGGGUGCAAGCGUUGUCCGGAAUUAUUGGGCGUAAAGAGCUCGUAGGCGGUUUGUCGCGUCGAAUGUGAAAACCCGGGGCUCAACCCCGGGCCUGCAUUCGAUACGGGCAGACUAGAGUUCGGUAGGGGAGUCUGGAAUUCCUGGUGUAGCGGUGAAAAUGCGCAGAUAUCAGGAGGAACACCGGUGGCGAAGGCGGGUCUCUGGGCCGAUACUGACGCUGAGGAGCGAAAGCGUGGGGGAGCGAACAGG